rnacentral:rRNA from 1 species
GAUCAUGGCUCAGGACGAACGCUGGCGGCGUGCCUAACACAUGCAAGUCGAACGAAGCUUGACGAACGAUUCUUCGGAUGAAUUCUGAUAUGACUGAGUGGCGGACGGGUGAGUAACGCGUGAGCAACCUGCCCUUCAGAGGGGGAUAGUGUCUGGAAACGGACAGUAAUACUGCAUAACGUACAUUGAUGGCAUCUUCGAUGUACCAAAGCUUUUGCG